rfam:Triticum aestivum genome assembly, contig: Triticum_aestivum_CS42_TGACv1_scaffold_049844_1BS
AUUAUACUCCCUCCGUCCGAAAAUACUUGACAUCGAAAUGGAUUAAAAAAAGAUGUCUCUAGAACUAAAAUACGUCUAGAUACAUCCCAUUCUAUUCAUUUUGAUCACAAGUAUUUCCGGACGAAGGAAGUAGCUU